rnacentral:misc_RNA from 1 species
AACCUUAUGGACCUGCGGGCGUAUACCUGCGGAGGGAUCAUCACAGUGAUCGGGGUGUGUGCCACGGGAGAGAUCUCGUGUGCGCCCCCACCAAUCUUUUGUGCACGGUUUCACGGUUGAAUGAGGCGUGUCGUGUGUGUUGGUGAGUCCCAGUGGCUUGCCAACCGCAUACGCGUGCGCUCUCUCCAAUGCAAUCUCUUGUGUAAUCUCUGUCUAACGUGAUACCACUCUAAUAACAUA